rnacentral:rRNA from 1 species
CAGUAGCCGCGGUAAUACGGAGGGGGCUAGCGUUAUUCGGAAUUACUGGGCGUAAAGCGCACGUAGGCGGCUUCGCAAGUCAGAGGUGAGAGCCUGGGGCUCAACUCCAGAAUUGCCUUUGAGACUGCGUCGCUCGAAUCCGGGAGAGGUGAGUGGAAUUCCGAGUGUAGAGGUGAAAUUCGUAGAUAUUCGGAAGAACACCAGUGGCGAAGGCGGCUCACUGGACCGGCAUUGACGCUGAGGUGCGAAAGCGUGGGGAGCAAACAGGAUUAGAUACCCCCGUAGUCCCUGUCUCUUAUAC